AUGGAACUCAGUGGCGAAAUCUCAGCUUACGGCAUCCCAGUGUUGUACCCAGGCGAGUUAAGAAAACGCCACACUUUGAGACGAAUUAAGAGUCCUUUAUUAA
rnacentral:pre_miRNA from 13 species